rnacentral:rRNA from 1 species
GACGAACGCUGGCGGCGUGCUUAACACAUGCAAGUCGAACGGAAAGGCCCUGCUUUUGUGGGGUGCUCGAGUGGCGAACGGGUGAGUAACACGUGAGUACCUGCCCUUGACUUUGGGAUAACUUCAGGAAACUGGGGCUAAUACCGGAUAGGAGCUUCUGCUGCCUGGUGGGGGUUGGAAAGUUUCGGCGGUUGGGGUUGGACUCGCGGGUUAUCAGCUUGUUGGUGGGGGAGUGUCUUACCAAGGCUUUGACGGGUAGCCGGCCUUAGAGGGUGACCGGCCACAUGGGGACUGAGAUACGGCCCAGACUCCUACGGGAGGCAGCAGUGGGGAAUAUUGCACAAUGGGCGGAAGCCUGAUGCAGCAACCCCGCGUGCGGGAUGACGGCCUUCGGGUUGUAAACCGCUUUCGCCUGUGACGAAGCGUGAGUGACGGUAAUGGGUAAAGAAGCACCGGCUAACUACGUG